UGGGGAAUUUUGGACAAUGGGGGAAACCCUGAUCCAGCCAUCCCGCGUGUGCGAUGAAGGCCUUCGGGUUGUAAAGCACUUUUGGCAGGAAAGAAACGUCGCGGGUUAAUACCCCGCGAAACUGACGGUACCUGCAGAAUAAGCACCGGCUAACUACGUGCCAGCAGCCGCGGUAAUACGUAGGGUGCAAGCGUUAAUCGGAAUUACUGGGCGUAAAGCGUGCGCAGGCGGUUCGGAAAGAAAGAUGUGAAAUCCCAGAGCUUAACUUUGGAACUGCAUUUUUUAACUACCGGGCUAGAGUGUGUCAGAGGGAGGUGGAAUUCCGCGUGUAGCAGUGAAAUGCGUAGAUAUGCGGAGGAACACCGAUGGCGAAGGCAGCCUCCUGGGAUAACACUGACGCUCAUGCACGAAAGCGUGGGGAGCAAACAGGAUUAGAUACCCUGGUAGUCCACGCCCUAAACGAUGUCAACUAGCUGUUGGGGCCUUCGGGCCUUGGUAGCGCAGCUAACGCGUGAAGUUGACCGCCUGGGGAGUACGGUCGGC
rnacentral:rRNA from 1 species